GUAGCUGAAUAAAAUGCAGAGGGCAACAUUUGGGUCAGCAAUUACUACUGAAUUUCACCGAAAGCUGUAUUUUGAAGCAAAAUUUGAAGCUCACGAUUAAAAGAAACACCUGGGAAUUUUGAGGGAAGCAAAGAAUUCGAGAUGGACGUGGCAGUAGGACAAUGCCCUGCCAGAUCACAGCACAUCACUUUGCCAUUCUCUACGUCAGUGUGUAUUCCGACAAUUUUCAAAUUAAACAACUUGUCCAUUGGCUGCUCUGUCCAGAUCUGAACUAAAGGCAGAGACUCUUAACCAAAGUCACAGAAUCUUCAGUGUUGCUCUGCAAGAAUGAACAAAGAAACAGAAGUACUGCCAUGUGAUAACAUCACCAGUCUUGCACCAAUAGGCCCACAAGACUUAUUUCUGGACCAUGAACUAUGGCCCCUGCAGGACAAAGCUCCCUCAAAUAUGAAGACCUUCUAAAAGUUAAGAACCAGUAGCAGCAGCAACCCUUAACAUAGAGAAAAGAAGGGAAUUGUAAGUGGUCAGUUUGAGCAAGUAAGCCCUUCGAAACAGCAGCAGGCCAGAGCAAGUCGUGUGAUAAGAUUUCCAGGUUCUUGGUCAAGGCUGUCUUCUCGUCAGCUCACCAGAGAGGACAUUACAGAUACUUGUUCUUACUGCAAACUGGCCUCGUAUGCAACAACAGCAGCAAGAAUACUUAUCGCGAAGUAUUGGAAGACACAAGAUUUACCCACACAGGAAG